CAGAGGGGGCAAGCGUUGUUCGGAAUUACUGGGCGUAAAGGGCGCGUAGGCGGCCACCUAAGUCAGACGUGAAAUCCCUCGGCUCAACCGGGGAACUGCGUCUGAUACUGGGUGGCUUGAAUUCGGGAGAGGGAUGCGGAAUUCCAGGUGUAGCGGUGAAAUGCGUAGAUAUCUGGAGGAACACCGGUGGCGAAGGCGGCAUCCUGGACCGACAUUGACGCUGAGGCGCGAAAGCCAGGGGAGCAAACGGGAUUAGAUACCCCGGUAGUCCUGGCCCUAAACGAUGAGUGCUUGGUGUGGCGGGUAUCGAUCCCUGCCGUGCCGAAGCUAACGCAUUAAGCACUCCGCCUGGGGAGUACGGUCGCAAGGCUG
rnacentral:rRNA from 1 species